rnacentral:rRNA from 1 species
UGUGACUGCUUAUUUGGGGAUAGCUUCGAAGGAGAUAUACCAUAUUGUGAUGUCAUCGAUGAAAUCGGUGAUAAAAUGGCACGCGCAGAUAAUGUGUGAGUACGGUCACAGUUAGAUCUUAGGGGCUGAGAGGUGAUCCCCAAUUGUAUGAGAAGGACAAUCUAGGAGGCAGCAGUGAGGAAUAUUGGACCAUGGGUGAGAGCUGAUCAGCCAUCCCGCGUGAAGGACGAAUGGCCUAUGGGGUUGUAAACUUCUUUUGUAUAGGGAUAAACCUACCCUCGUGAGGGUAGCUGAAGGUACUAUACGAAUAAGCACCGGGUUAACUCCGUGCCAGCAGCCGCGGUAAUACGGAGGGUGCAAGCGUUAUCCCGGAUUUAUUGGGUUUAAAGGGUCCGUAGCGGAUCUGUAAGUCAGGUGGGUGAAAUCUUCACAGUUAACUUGUGAAACUGCCAUUGAUACUGCAGGUCUUGAGUGUUGUUGAAAGUAGCUGGAAAUAAAGUAGUGUAGCGGUGAAAAUGGCAUAAGAUAUUACUUAGAACAACCAAUUGCGAAGGCAGGUUACUAAGCAAAAAUUGACGCUUGAUGGAACGAAAGCGUUGG